rnacentral:rRNA from 1 species
UACGUAGGGUGCGAGCGUUGUCCGGAAUUAUUGGGCGUAAAGGGCUCGUAGGCGGUCUGUUGCGUCGGGAGUGAAAACUCAGGGCUUAACCCUGAGCCUGCUUCCGAUACGGGCAGACUAGAGGUAUGCAGGGGAGAACGGAAUUCCUGGUGUAGCGGUGAAAUGCGCAGAUAUCUGGAGGAACACCGGUGGCGAAGGCGACAUCCUGGACCGGCAUUGACGCUGAGGCGCGAAAGCCAGGGGAGCAAACGGG